UGCGUUCUGGAGUGGCGCUGCUUGGUCCGGCGGCUGGGUGAGGGCUGCUGGUGUCGCGUUUGAGGAGAACUGCGAGUCUGUUUGGCCUAUACCCAUCGGUAUCCCAGCUACGAUGAGUGCUGCCCGGGAGUCUCACCCGCACGGGGUGAAACGUUCAGCCUCUCCCGACGACGAUGUAAAUAACAAUGGAUGAGGGUUGAGGCCUACUGAAGGCUGGGGUAGGCCGGGAAGGGUGGAUGGAGGAAAAAGCGCCCGAAGGAAGGGGGCGCAACAAGGGAUGUCUUCCUUUUCUUAUUAGAAUAUGAAGGUUAGAAGAUGCCCUGAGCUGAGAUCCAGUGACCUGCGUAGCAAGGGGAAUUGAGGAAGGAAAUCCUGAGAAG
rnacentral:lncRNA from 1 species